GUCAAAAACCUGUACCGUACAGGUUUUGGGGCAUCUGUAGUUCAAGCUUCCCUCCCUUCGCGUGCUUGCUAAAAUACCGCCUGCUACGCAGCUUACUCCAUUAAAAAUUGAAACAUACUGGACAUCGUUAAAGGAGCAGUGUAAUUUUGGUAAUAACCGGAAAAGAAAUGAAAGAUAUUUUAAAAACUGGCCGUGGCCUCACGAUAAAACUUUAUAAAAAUGUUCUCUGUUUCAUGUAUUUUUAUUUGAUGUCUUGGGUACAAGCGAAAAAAUAGGGGCUCGUACAGUUUACGAGGUUAUAAAAUGCAUGACUUGUCUCUUAGAGCUGCUGGUAUAAUAGCUAAAAUACAGCAUUUCGCAAACCAAAAUCUGUAAAACUAAUAUACAUGUAUUAUGCAUUUGUCUAUCCAUACUUGAUUUAUGGCAACACCUAUAACAUUGGGUAAUACUUACAAAAGCCGAAUUCAGAAAAUAAUGAAUAUACAAAAAAAAAUAGUACGUCUAAUGACAUUCAAAUCUUAUUUAGACCACAGUGAGCCAAUUUUCAAAUAUUUAAAGUGGAAGUCAAGUCCGUGUGUAAACAAACGGUUUGUUGACAUUUUGAACUGCUGUAUUUUUUUAAAAUGUGAUUACUGACUGAAUAUCUAACACCAUUUUGGUUCGCUAUGCUUCUAAAUGAAUAUGAAAUAGAGUUUAUGUUCAGAAAAAUUCAAAACAUUCGAAAUUUGGG